GGUCUUGUGUAGACACGAUCAAGUAGAGAUAGACGUAGGAGCGGCCGCGCCGUGUGUUGAGGGUAGGGGGUGAAGUUUGGUAAAACAAAGAAUGGCUACACUCAGUGGGGCCUAAACACCACACGGUCGGUGCCGCCGCGGGCCGCAACUGAUGAGGCUCGCCGGUCGCGCCGGCGUGUUGAGACGAAGGAGCGCGACCUCAAUCACAACACGACGGUGGCGGCCGCUGCUCCGCCUGUUCGAAAACCCACGACGUUAGUCAACGCGGGAAGCUGCCGCCUCAACGUAGGCACGCGCAGCUUCGACCUUUGCCGCAAAAACCCUCGACGUUCACGUCCAGCCGCCGGCACUGUUCGGUCUCCCACCACUGCACUACCCGCCGCUAGAGCGUGCCGAACCGCCUGUUGCUACCGGUAGCAAAAAAUGGCCCUCCUGCGCUGUGGUCGCCCCUGCGCUGGACACGGCCCCUAUCUUGCUCGCAACUGGUCUAGACUGCCAACUCCCUUCUAAUUAAGCUGCCGAGCGCGAACUGGCCGGCUUGAUAACCCGGCCACGUGGCCGUGGAUAGUCAGGGGAAAAUUGUUUGUGUAUAAAAUAAAACUCUAGACCCCGAGUAAAUCAACACUGCAUGCGUGGUUAAAAUAAAAUAAAACCUCUGUAAUAGGGUGUAGUCGUUUCUUUAUUCGAGUG
rnacentral:rRNA from 1 species